AUUGAACGCUGGCGGCAGGCCUAACACAUGCCAGUCGAACGGUAACAGGAAGAAGCUUGCUUCUUUGCUGACGAGUGGCGGACGGGUGAGUAAUGUCUGGGAAACUGCCUGAUGGAGGGGGAUAACUACUGGAAACGGUAGCUAAUACCGCAUAACGUCGCAAGACCAAAGAGGGGGACCUUCGGGCCUCUUGCCAUCGGAUGUGCCCAGAUGGGAUUAGCUAGUAGGUGGGGUAACGGCUCACCUAGGCGACGAUCCCUAGCUGGUCUGAGAGGAUGACCAGCCACACUGGAACUGAGACACGGUCCAGACUCCUACGGGAGGCAGCAGUGGGGAAUAUUGCACAAUGGGCGCAAGCCUGAUGCAGCCAUGCCGCGUGUAUGAAGAAGGCCUUCGGGUUGUAAAGUACUUUCAGCGGGGAGGAAGGGAGUAAAGUUAAUACCUUUACUCAUUGACGUUACCCGCAGAAGAAGCACCGGCUAACUCCGU
rnacentral:rRNA from 1 species